GAUGAACGCUGGCGGCGUGCCUAAUACAUGCAAGUCGAGCGAACAGACGAGGAGCUUGCUCCUCUGAUGUUAGCGGCGGACGGGUGAGUAACACGUGGAUAACCUACCUAUAAGACUGGGAUAACUUCGGGAAACCGGAGCUAAUACCGGAUAAUAUUUUGAACCGCAUGGUUCAAUAGUUAAAGACGGUUUUGCUGUCACUUAUAGAUUGAUCCGCGCGGCAUUAGCUAGUUGGUAAGGUAACGGCUUACCAAGGCAACGAUGCCUAGCCGACCUGAGAGGGUGAUCGGCCACACUGGAACUGAGACACGGUCCAGACUCCUACGGGAGGCAGCAGUAGGGAAUAUUCCGCAAUGGGCGAAAGCCUGACGGAGCAACGCCGCGUGAGUGAUGAAGGUCUUCGGAUCGUAAAACUCUGUUAUUAGGGAAGAACAAAUGUGUAAGUAACUAUGCACGUCUUGACGGUACCUAAUCAGAAAGCCACGGCUAACUACGUG
rnacentral:rRNA from 1 species